UCCUGGACCACCUUCCAGAUGACUGAGGCCCUGGUGGGCCAUGAGCUUCCCUCAAACCUGCACAUUUGAGACUCAGUACCAUUCUCUGGGGCUCUGUGUCCUCACCUGCCAGCCAUAUUUUCAUGGAUGCAGCACUCAUGGAACAGCAGGUUAACCUGGGAGCCUAUGGUGUUGCCCUCACGAUUAGAGACUAUAUCUAAACAGUGUCUUUGCAGAAGGGCUGUGACUCAGUUUUUCCUAGGAGGGGCCUCUCUCCGCUUUUCCUUCACCUUUCUACAUACUACUCUAAAUUCUUUUAUAAUUAACUAUUUAUUUGUGUCCGUUCACGUGUGUAUGAAUACACACAUGUAUACAUGUAUGUGAAUGUGUGAGUAGAGGCCAGAGGACAACCCUGUGUGUCAUCUUCUG
rnacentral:lncRNA from 1 species